CGAACGCGUCUCCGUUAAUGAUUUUAGGUGCUUGCACUUGAGAGAUUUAACAUUGAGACGAGUGGCGAACUGGUGAGUAACACGUGGGUAACCUGCCCUUGAAGUAGGGGAUAACACUUGGAAACAGGUGCUAAUACCGUAUAACAACCAAAACCACCUGGUUUUGGUUUAAAAGACGGCUUCGGCUGUCACUUUAGGAUGGACCCGCGGCGUAUUAGCUUGUUGGUAAGGUAACGGCCUACCAAGGCGAUGAUACGUAGCCGACCUGAGAGGGUAAUCGGCCACAUUGGGACUGAGACACUGCCCAAACUCCUACGGGAGGCAGCAGUAGGGAAUCUUCCACAAUGGACGAAAGUCUGAUGGAGCAACGCCGCGUGAGUGAUGAAGGGUUUCGGCUCGUAAAACUCUGUUGUUGGAGAAGAACAGGUGUCAGAGUAACUGUUGACAUCUUGACGGUAUCCAACCAGAAAGCCACGGCUAACUACGUGCCAGCAGCCGCGGUAAUACGUAGGUGGCAAGCGUUGUCCGGAUUUAUUGGGCGUAAAGCGAGCGCAGGCGGUUUUUUAGGUCUGAUGUGAAAGCCUUCGGCUUAACCGGAGAAGCGCAUCGGAAACCGGGAGACUUGAGUGCAGAAGAGGACAGUGGAACUCCAUGUGUAGCGGUGAAAUGCGUAGAUAUAUGGAAGAACACCAGUGGCGAAGGCGGCUGUCUGGUCUGUAACUGACGCUGAGGCUCGAAAGCAUGGGUAGCGAACAGGAUUAGAUACCCUGGUAGUCCAUGCCGUAAACGAUGAGUGCU
rnacentral:rRNA from 1 species